UCCUACGGGAGGCAGCAGUGGGGAAUAUUGGACAAUGGGGGCAACCCUGAUCCAGCCAUGCCGCGUGUGUGAAGAAGGCCCUCGGGUUGUAAAGCACUUUCAGCGAGGAAGAACGCCUAGCGGUUAAUACCCGCUAGGAAAGACAUCACUCGCAGAAGAAGCACCGGCUAACUCCGUGCCAGCAGCCGCGGUAAUACGGAGGGUGCAAGCGUUAAUCGGAAUUACUGGGCGUAAAGCGCGCGUAGGUGGCUUGAUAAGCCGGUUGUGAAAGCCCCGGGCUCAACCUGGGAACGGCAUCCGGAACUGUCAAGCUAGAGUGCAGGAGAGGAAGGUAGAAUUCCCGGUGUAGCGGUGAAAUGCGUAGAGAUCGGGAGGAAUACCAGUGGCGAAGGCGGCCUUCUGGACUGACACUGACACUGAGGUGCGAAAGCGUGGGUAGCAAACAGGAUUAGAUACCCUGGUAGUCCACGCCGUAAACGAUGUCGACCAGCCGUUGGGUGCCUAGCGCACUUUGUGGCGAAGUUAACGCGAUAAGCCGACCGCCUGGGGAGUACGGCCGCAAGGUUAAAACUCAAAUGAAUUGACGG
rnacentral:rRNA from 1 species